rnacentral:rRNA from 1 species
AGAACGAACGCUGGCGGCAUGCCUAAUACAUGCAAGUCGAACGAACUCUUCGGAGUUAGUGGCGCACGGGUGCGUAACGCGUGGGAAUCUGCCCCUUGGUUCGGAAUAACAGUUGGAAACGACUGCUAAUACCGGAUGAUGACGAAAGUCCAAAGAUUUAUCGCCAAGGGAUGAGCCCGCGUAGGAUUAGCUAGUUGGUGAGGUAAAGGCUCACCAAGGCAACGAUCCUUAGCUGGUCUGAGAGGAUGAUCACGCCACA